AAUAGAGAAACCGAGUCCAAGCGAGGGGGAGAGACGCGUCCAGAUCUCUGGGCUCUGGGUCCAGCCCCGGCUUUCUGCCAGGAUGUGGGUGCUGGAGGGAGGCGGUUGUCUUUCGUCUCCCUCCUCUCCUCACCCCUAAGCAGGCGCGGAGGCCCGGCAGGGCAGGUUCCCGCGAGGAGUAAGUGAUGAGGUGGAGAAGAGGAGGCGUCAGCUGCCCAGGGCCCUGCGUCUGCCUCUGCUAAAUACCUCUGAGAAACUCGGCUUCCAGCUGAAGGGGACCCGUGUGGCCCCAAGAACCCCCUGGAGUCCCUGGGUGAGAUGGACUGGACCAAUCACAGCUUUCGGGACUUGGGAGCCGGCCGUGCCUCCCUGGAGAGCCUCAUCCGGGUGCUCCCAGCAGGAAACAGCACCACCCUGAAGCCAGAGAUGAGGACAAUUUAAGAAACAACUGAGACUUCAGACCAAUUUUCUCCACAAAUCUCUGGACUUUCCCUGCCAAGCUGAGCCUGUGUACUGCAACGUGAUCAGCCUGGCCCCCUGGAAGGAGGAUGACUUUGCCAUCUAUGCCAACGUGCCCCGUUUUGGUUGCCCCAGGAGGACAAUGCCAGACCAAGUGGAAUAUGCCUCUAUUGUGUUCCGCUGAUGGGGCCUCGGCGUGUGGAGUGGCAGGGACAUAUGGGGUCCAGACACCACUCUCGCUGUCAUCUCUGUGUACACAUGUGUGCUUUUAAAUAAUAAAACACAAAACAUAUGUGGG
rnacentral:lncRNA from 1 species